ensembl:lncRNA
GGAUAUCCUGGAGCAAAAUUUACGGCUCAUUAAAAAAUGAAAAUUGCAAAAUGGAAUUUGUAUUUAAUGAAAUCCAAGACCCAUGUAAUCAUUCAAUUUUGUAUAAGUAAAAAAAAUUCUCAUUUGAAUUUUUUUAGGAUAUAUAUUCCCCACUUUGUAAAAAAUCUCCAAGAAUCCACGAUUGUUGAGAAAACAGCCAGCUUUAAAAUGGCAAUGAAUUUUUUAAAAAAUGCAAUGAAUUAUUCCUAGGCAAAUAACUACAAAAACUGCUAUGAAUGGCAGGCAGGAAGAUCAACAUGCAAAAAGAGAAACAUGAAACAUAGCCUGGCAUAGGAACAGAAGGUUCAGUGCAACUGUUUGUGACAGGAACAUAAAAAUAUGCUGGAUGUUGUUUCUUUCUUUAAUACACUUGCUGAUCAAAUGGUAUUUGGAGUAAUUUCUACACAUAGUGACAAUAGAAAUAUUGCAAACAUCAAAUGCUUAGUUUUUCCAGUUUAGGCUAAAAUGGAUUACAGGUUGUUUUCUAUUUUGAGAUAAAGUUGCCUGAGAGAGGUAGAUGGAUGACAUAACUGAUUUAAGAACAAUCUUACAUGGCCUACACUAGGAAUUCAAAAUCCUUCCUGAUGAGACAUGUAUCAAACUACACCAUAAGUUUCUUUGGGUAGAAGAAAUGCACCCACCAGGGAUGACAAGGACCCACUGAUGAAGAAAGGUACCCACCAGGGAUGACAAGGAUCCACUGAUGAAGAAAUACACCCCCAGGGGUGACAAGGAUCCACUGAUGAAGAAAUGCACCCUCAGGGGUGACAAGGAUCCACUGAUGAAGAAAUGCAUCCCCAGGGGUGACAAGGAUCCACUGAUGAAGAAAUGCACCCUCAGGGGUGACAAGGAUCCACUGAUGAAGAAAUGCAUCCCCCAGGGGUGAUGAGGACCCACUGAUGAAGAAAGGCACCCCAAGGGAUGACAAGGACCCACCGAUGAAGAAAGGCAUCCCCAGGGAUGACAGGGAUCCACUGAUGAAGAAAGGUACCCCCAGGGGUGACAGGGAUCCACCGAUGAAGAAAUGCACCCCCAGGGGUGACAAGGACCCACCGAUGAAGAAAUGCACCCCCAGGGGUGACAAGGACCCACCGAUGAAGAAAUGCACCCCCAGGGGUGACAAGGACCCACCGAUGAAGAAAUGCACCCCCAGGGGUGACAAGGACCCACCGAUGAAGAAAUGCACCCCCAGGGGUGACAAGGACCCACCGAUGAAGAAAUGCACCCCCAGGGGUGACAAGGACCCACUGAUGAAGAAAUGCACCCCCAGGGGUGACAAGGACCCACUGAUGUUUAACACAUCUCCUGCACGCGCAUGUACCAGGGAGCAGAAACUACUCUGUUUAGUGUCUUGAGAUACAUUCCCUGUGUGAUGAUGCUAUGGAGAUGUAUGUGUGAACUGUUCUUUCAACUCCCACACAUACUUCACCAGGAACUCCAUAUAAAAACAAGGGGUCAGCUUCAAGAGGCACACAAGGUUGGAGGCAUUUGAAGAGG